rnacentral:rRNA from 1 species
GACGAACGCUGGCGGCGUGCUUAACACAUGCAAGUCGAACGAAGUGGCGAACGGGUGAGUAAUACGUGGGUAACCUGCCUUUCACAGGGGAAUAACACUGGGAAACCAGUGAUAAUACCGCAUAGUGAAAGAUGGCCUCGCGCCUGAUUAGCUAGUAGGUGAGGUAACGGCUCACCUAGGUGAUGAUGAGUAGCCGGACUGAAGGUUGAUCGGCCGCAUUGGGACUGAGACACGGCCCAGACUCCUACGGGAGGCAGCAGUGGGGAAUAUUGGGCAAUGGCGCAAGCCUGACCCAGCAACGCCGCGUGGGGGAUGAAGGCUUUCGGGUUGUAAACCUCUUUCCAUCGAACAGGGUACCUGUAGAAUAAGCCACGGCUAACUACGUGCCAGCCGCCGCGGUAAUUC